GACGAACGCUGGCGGCGUGCCUAAUACAUGCAAGUAGAACGCACAGUUUAUACCGUAGCUUGCUACACCAUAGACUGUGAGUUGCGAACGGGUGAGUAACGCGUAGGUAACCUGCCUGGUAGCGGGGGAUAACUAUUGGAAACGAUAGCUAAUACCGCAUAAUAUUAAUUAUUGCAUGAUAAUUAAUUGAAAGGUGCAAUUGCACCACUACCAGAUGGACCUGCGUUGUAUUAGCUAGUAGGUGAGGUAACGGCUCACCUAGGCGACGAUACAUAGCCGACCUGAGAGGGUGGUCGGCCACACUGGGACUGGGACACGGCCCAGACUCCUACGGGAGGCAGCAGUAGGGAAUCUUCGGCAAUGGACGAAAGUCUGACCGAGCAACGCCGCGUGAGUGAAGAAGGUUUUCGGAUCGUAAAGCUCUGUUGUAAGAGAAGAACGGGUGUGAGAGUGGAAAGUUCACACUGUGACGGUAUCUUACCAGAAAGGGACGGCUAACUACGUG
rnacentral:rRNA from 1 species